rnacentral:rRNA from 1 species
AUUGAACGCUGGCGGCAUGCCUUACACAUGCAAGUCGAACGGUAACGCGGGGCAACCUGGCGACGAGUGGCGAACGGGUGAGUAAAGCAUCGGAACGUGCCCAGUAGUGGGGGAUAGCCCGGCGAAAGCCGGAUUAAUACCGCAUACGACCUAUGGGUGAAAGGGGGGGAUCGCAAGACCUCUCGCUAUUGGAGCGGCCGAUGUCAGAUUAGGUAGUUGGUGGGGUAAAGGCCUACCAAGCCGACGAUCUGUAGCUGGUCUGAGGGGACGACCCGCCACACUGGGACUGAGACACGGCCCAGACUGCUACGGGAGGCAGCAGUGGGGAAUUUUGGACAAUGGGCGCAAGCCUGAUCCAGCCAUGCCGCGUGCGGGAAGAAGGCCUUCGGGUUGUAAACCGCUUUUGUCAGGGAAGAAAUCCUUUGGGUUAAUACCUCGGGGGGAUGACGGUACCUGAAGAAUAAGCACCGGCUAACUACGUGCCAGCCGCCGCAGUAA